rnacentral:misc_RNA from 2 species
AACGCAUCUUGCGCUCCUUGGUAUUCCGAGGAGCAUGCCUGUUUGAGUGUCAUUAAUAUCUCAACCACAUAUUUUGAUGUGUGGCUUGGACUUGGAGGAAACGUGCAGGCUCUGACUCUUGUAGUCUGCUCCUCUGAAAAACAUAAGCGGUACCUAUAUUGGGACUUUGGCUAGGUGUGAUACACAUCUGCAUCUAAUCGAGGUUAGCCCGUUGGUCAUGCUGCUGAUCAUUACAACUUGAUGAACUUGACCUCAAAUCAGGUAGGACCACCCGCUGAACUUAA